GUGGGGGAUAUUGCACAAUGGAGGAAACUCUGAUGCAGCAACGCCGCGUGAGGGAAGAAGGUCUUCGGAUUGUAAACCUUUGUUUUUGGUGACGAACAAAUGACGGUAGCCAAAGAGGAAGCCACGGCUAACUACGUGCCAGCAGCCGCGGUAAUACGUAGGUGGCAAGCGUUGUCCGGAUUUACUGGGUGUAAAGGGAGCGCAGGCGGGACAGCAAGUUGGAUGUGAAAUACCGGAGCUUAACUCCGGAGCUGCAUCCAAAACUGUUGUUCUUGAGUGAAGUAGAGGUUGGCGGAAUUCCGAGUGUAGCGGUGAAAUGCGUAGAUAUUCGGAGGAACACCAGUGGCGAAGGCGGCCAACUGGGCUUUAACUGACGCUGAGGCUCGAAAGCAUGGGGAGCAAACAGGAUUAGAAACCCCUGUAGUCC
rnacentral:rRNA from 1 species